rnacentral:lncRNA from 1 species
CAGUGAACAGUGUUACUGUAGUAAAAUUAAAAAAUAACGGUAAUAUCAUUGUUCCUGAGCGGCUAGCCGAAUAAUCAAGCGGCUAACCGCAUGGGCGUGGGAAUUUGCCUAUAACGGCUAGUUUUCGGGCUUUCACUAUAAAAACUCAACUCAAACUUCAUUCUAAGGACUAAUGCAAGCAAAUAUAAGAUCAUAUAACAUAUAUUGAGCUUCCAUUUCGUAAAUCAUCAUUUAUUGAAUCAUUAUUGAGCUAUAAUUCGUUAUCCACUCUUAAAGAGAGUUUCAUUGUUGUGAUUUUCAUUUCUCAUCAAAUUGUGAGCGUACAACCACUUGGGGUGAAGAGAUUGGGGAUAUAAUCUCUUGUUGUAAAGGUUCAUUGACACCUUGUAAGUCAAUUAUAAACAUUUGAAGUCUUGGGAGGCUUGGAUAGUGAAAUCCUCAAGCCGGGUGAGCUUGGAGGCGUGGACGUAGGCAGGGAUAGCCGAACUACGUAAAAAUUCUUGUGUUUGUUUUCUCUUCCCUUACUCUUUUAAUAUUGUGCUUGAUUGAAUUUAUUAUUUUUUAUUUGAUUAAGACAAUAGAUUAAAUUGUUGUGCGAAUUGUAUUGUAUAAAUUUUAAAAUCUCAAUUCACCCCCUCUCUUGGGUUGCAUAACUUGCUUUUUAAAACCACUUUUCAUGGCAAUUUUCAUCCAACUCCAAAGCUUAAUAUUAAUUGCACAUCAAGCAAACCCUUUUGGGCUUUGGGCUUUUUGGCCCCCAAAUGAAAUGGACUCAACACUAUGAAAGUCAAAUUUUCGAGUUUAUGUUAGAAGUCAAAUACCAUUGUCUCUUCUCCUACUCUAAAUAUAUUUUUUUCGGAUCCAAUUUUUGUGUUUGGGUCAAAAGUAUUGCCAUUUUGUGUUGCAUUUAUACAGUAUGGAUUUGGGGGUUGAUUAAGGUGUUUCUUCUGAUGAUGUGGACAUUGCAGAGGCUAAAUCUCUUCGCUUUGGCUUACGACGCGCUAGUGAGGCUAGUUUGUCUCACUGGUGGUGGACUCGAAUUCAUUGCGGGUUAUUUAGUUUGUCAACGGCAAACAUCAUACAUGUAUCGAGCGUUUUUGGAUUAUUUCAAAAAUUGAAAUGCUAAUCUCAGCGGCAGAAUUUCAAAAUGUAGAAUAUUUCAAGAUGUUGAACCAUGUUGUUGAUGUAUUAUCUAAAUUUACUUUUCAGUAUUCAUAGUCUUUAGUUUGGUUGGAAGAUUAUCCUAAUUUUUUAAAAUGUUAUCUGCAAGCUGAAUUCUGAAAUAAAAUACCCGCAUG